GAUGAACGCUGGCGGCGUGCCUAAUACAUGCAAGUCGAGCGAACAGACGAGGAGCUUACUCCUCUGACGUUAGCGGCGGACGGGUGAGUAACACGUGGAUAACCUACCUAUAAGACUGGGAUAACUUCGGGAAACCGGAGCUAAUACCGGAUAACAUGUUGAACCGCAUGGUUCAACAGUGAAAGACGGUCUUGCUGUCACUUAUAGAUGGAUCCGGGUCGCAUUAGCUAGUUGGUAAGGUAACGGCUUACCAAGGCAACGAUGCGUAGCCGACCUGAGAGGGUGAUCGGCCACACUGGAACUUAGGCACGGUCCAGAGUCCUACGGGAGGCAGCAGUAGGGAAUCUUCCGCAAUGGGCGAAAGCCUGACGGAGCAACGCCGCGUGAGUGAAGAAGGUCUUCGGAUCGUAAAACUCUGUUAUUAGGGAAGAACAAAUGUGUAAGUAACUAUGCACGUCUUGACGGUACCGAAUCAGAAAGCCACGGCUAACUACGUG
rnacentral:rRNA from 1 species